GAUGAAGAACGUAGCGAAAUGCGAUAAGUAGUGUGAAUUGCAGAAUUCAGUGAAUCAUCGAAUCUUUGAACGCACAUUGCGCCCCUUGGUAUUCCAUGGGGCAUGCCUGUUCGAGCGUCAUUUGUACCUUCAAGCUUUGCUUGGUGUUGGGUGUUUGUCUCGCCUUUGCGUGUAGACUCGCCUUAAAAUAAUUGGCAGCCGGCGUAUUGAUUUCGGAGCGCAGUACAUCUCGCGCUUUGCACUCAUAACGACAGCGUCCAAAAGUACAUUUUACCCUCUUGACCUCGGAUCAGGUAGGGAUACCCGCUGAACUUAAGCAUAUCAAUAAGCGGAGGA
rnacentral:misc_RNA from 1 species